GCUGGGUGUGGUGGUGCACACCUGUAAUCCCAGCUACUCAGGAGGCUGAGGCGGGAGAAUCACUUGAACCCAGGAGAUGGAGGCUGCAGUGAGCUGAGAUCACGCCACUGCACUCCAGCCUGGGUGACAGAGCUAGACUCUGUCUCAA
rnacentral:SRP_RNA from 1 species